UGGGUGUCACUCUGUACUAUCGUUAUUC
rnacentral:piRNA from 1 species